rnacentral:lncRNA from 1 species
AUGUACCCUUUGUACUCAGUUUGUACACCUUUCGUACACCCUUGGUUCUACCUUUGUACAACUUUUAUAAACCCUUUGUAAACCCAUUCUACAUCAUUUUUAAAGCCUUUGUACACACUUUGAACACUCCUUAUACAGUCUUUGUACAGCCUUUUUAUACCCUCUGUACAACCAUUGUACUACUUUUUGUACACCCUUAUUGUACACCCUUUGUACACCCAAUAUACACCCUUUAUACACCUUUUAUACACCCUUUAUACAUCCUUUAUACAUCAUUUCUACACCAUUUGUACACCCAUUGUACACGCUUUGUAUAUCUAUCUAAAUUUUGGAACACCUUAUGUACACCCUUUGUACACCCUUUUUUUAUGCUUUGUACACCAUUUAUUCACCUUUAUACACUCUUUCUAUACCCAUUGUGCAGCCUUUGUACACCCUUUCUACACCUAUUGUGCAGCCUUUGUAUAACCUUCGUACAUCAUUUCUACACCUUUUACACACCCUUUGUAUAUCAUUGGUACAGCGUUUGUACAUCAUUUCUACACACUUUGUGUAAACCCUUUGUACACAUUUUCUACAUCUAUUUACAUCCUUGUACACCUUUUGUAAACCCUUUGUACAUCUUGUGUAAACCCUUUGUACAUCCUUUUUACACCUUUUAUAACCAUUCAGACAUCCUUUGUACAUACUUUAUGUACCCUUUGUACUCAGUUUGAACACCCUUCGUACACCCUUUCUACACCUUUUAUAUACCCUUUGUACACCCUUGGUACUACCUUUGUACAACUUUUCUACUACCUUUACACACCUUUUAUAAACCCUUUGUAAACCCCUUCUUCAUCAUUUUUAAAGCCUUUGUACACACUUUGAACACCCCUUAUACAGUCUUUGUACAGCCUUUUUAUACCCUCUGUACAACCAUUGUACUACUUUUGUCACCCUUUAUGCACCUAUUGUACACCCUUUGUACACCAUUGGUACACCCUUUCUAACUAUUUCUAUAUAUUUGUACAUCCUUUGUACACUAUUUCUACACGCUUUGUACACCCUUGAUACAACAUUUGUACACCCUUUGUACAUCCAUUGUAGACCUUGUCUAUAUCUAUCUACAUUUUGGUACUCCUUAUGUACACCCUUUGUACACCCAAUAUACACCCUUUAUACACCUUUUAUACACCCUUUAUACACCAUUUGUACACCCAUUGUACACGCUUUGUAUAUCUAUCUAAAUUUUGGAACACUUUAUGUACACCCUUUUUUCAUGCUUUGUACACCCUUUAUUCACCUUUAUACACUCUUUCUACACCCAUUGUGCAGCCUUUGUACACCCUUUCUACACCUAUUGUGCAGCCUUUGUAUAACCUUCGUACAUCAUUUGUACACCUUUUACACACCCUUUGUACAUCAUUGGUACAGCGUUUGUACAUCGUUUCUACACUCUUUGUGUAAACCCUUGGUACACCUUUUCUAUAUCUAUCUACAUCAUUGUACACCUUUUGUACAUCUUGUGUAAACCCUUUGCAAACCUUUUAUAACCAUUCAGACACCCUUUGUACACCCCUAGUACACCUUUUGUACACCGUUUGUACAUAUUUUAUGUACCCUUUGUAUUCACUUUGUACACCCUUCGUACACCCUUUCUAUACCUUUUAUAUACCCUUUGUACACCCUCGGUACUACCUUUGUACAACUUUUGUACUCCCUUUGUACACCUUUUACAAACCCUUUGUAAACCCAUUCUACAUCAUUUUCAAAGCCUUUGUACACACUUUCAACACCCCUUAUACAGUCUUUGUACACCCUUUGUAUACCCUUUGUAGAACCAUUGUAAUAAUUUUGUACACCCUUAAUACACCUAUUGUACACCCUUUGUACACCAUUGGUACACUCUUCGUACACCCUUUCUACACGCUUUGUACACCCUUUAUACACCCUUUAUACAUCAUUUCUACACCUUUUGUACAUCCAUUGUAGACCCUUUCUAUAUCUAUCUACAUUUUGGUACACCUUAUGUACACCUUUUGUACACCCAAUAUACACCAUUUAUACACCUUUUAUACACCCUUUAUACACCCUUUCUACAUCAUUUUAUACACCUUUUAUAUAUAAUUUCUACACCCUGUGUACACUCAUUGUACACCCUUUCUAUAUCUAUAUACACCCUUUGUACACCCUUCG